UACGUAGGGUGCAAGCGUUGUCCGGAAUUAUUGGGCGUAAAGAGCUCGUAGGCGGUCUGUCACGUCGGCUGUGAAAAACCUGAGGCUCAACCUCAGGCCUGCAGUCGAUACGGGCGGACUUGAGUACUGCAGGGGAGACUGGAAUUCCUGGUGUAGCGGUGAAAUGCGCAGAUAUCAGGAGGAACACCGGUGGCGAAGGCGGGUCUCUGGGCAGUAACUGACGCUGAGGAGCGAAAAGCUGGGGGAGCGAACAGG
rnacentral:rRNA from 1 species